rnacentral:rRNA from 1 species
GACGAACGCUGGCGGCGUGCUUAACACAUGCAAGUCGAACGGAAAGGCCCUGCUUUUGUGGGGUGCUCGAGUGGCGAACGGGUGAGUAACACGUGAGUAACCUGCCCUGGACUUUGGGAUAACUUCAGGAAACUGGGGCUAAUACCGGAGAGGAGCGCCUGCUGCAGGGUGGGGGUUGGAAAGUUUCGGCGGUUGGGGAUGGACUCGCGGCUUAUCAGCUUGUUGGUGGGGUAGUGGCUUACCAAGGCUUUGACGGGUAGCCGGCCUGAGAGGGUGGCCGGCCACCUUGCGACUGCGAUACGGCCCAGACUCCUACGGGGGACAGCAGUGGGGAAUAUUGCCCAAUGGGCGGACGCCUGAUGCAGCAACGCCCCGUGCGGGAUGACGGCCUUCGGGUUGUAAACCGCUUUCGCCUAUGACGAAGCGUGAGUGACGGUAAUGGGUAAAGAAGCACCGGCUAACUACGUG